rnacentral:lncRNA from 1 species
GGUGACUGUGCGGCAGGGGGCUUUCGGCUUCGAGGGAGAGAGUCUCACCAUUUCUUACCUAUAGGAAAAAUACCCAUUGCGCAUCUGAGAAUUUAGAGGAUGAGGUUUCAUCAUGUUCCCCAGGCUGGUCUCAUACUCCUGAGUUCAAGCAAUCCACCUGCCUUGGCCACCCAAAGUGCUGGGAUUACAGGUGUGAGCUACUGCGUCUAGCCCUCUUCCAUCGUUUUCAAGGAGGGAUCAGGGGUCAGCUGUUCGCAACUUGGGACUUCUCUCAUGUAGCAGAGUGUACACCUGCUGCCCCAGCAAGGCCUUCACAAUGAUCCAAGCCUGGCCUGUUGCUCCAGCUUCUGGAACCUCCCAUGGCCUUCGGUCUACUUGAAUGCUCCUGAGGCCAGGUAGCUCAUCACUGCCGGAGGACCUGUUGCCACUCACUUCUAGCCACAAGAAAUGUCUGCCUGUCCUGAGCAAAACCCACCUUGGAGGAACUUCUUUACUCCCUUGUUGAAUUUUUGGCUCUACCAAAUAAACAUGAAUUGCUUCCCUGUGAAAGACCUCCAAACACUUUCCUCUGCCUGUGUGUUGUUCAUCAGUGGUGUAGCCGAAUCCAGGGCGAGGAGGACCUGCAUUUUAGCUGGUGUUAACCAGAGUGGAGGGAGGAUUAGGAGUGGCCUUUGGGUGGACAGGAGGUAUGACAGGCUGCAGAUGGUGGAGCAAGCCUUGCUGUGCCCCCGACCCAGCUCGACAUGCACACGUGGGUGGUUCUGGCUCCCUGGGUGGGAAGAAUGGUGGGGUGGGUGGGCAUUGUGAGCCUGGCAACCAGACCCCACGGAAUAGCAGGGAGGAGGAGGAAGGAGGACGCCCUCCAAGAAACAGUGGAGUGAAACCUUAGUGCCUACUUCACAGCCCAUCUGGGGUCUCUCCCUGCUUGCUUCUGGGCAGAGGGUGUCCAUUAUACCACAAGCACAACCUUGAAAUGUGCUGGAGCAGGAAGUCGCGCAGGACCUCAUUCCCCAGGACUUUCCAUACAUGAGGAAUGCAGGGCUGAGCAGGUGAGAUGCGGCGGUGGGAGGCAUGCCGCCUGCUCCCUCUCCUGAUUCACUGGGGUUUUGGGCUGCAGGCAGUCAGAAGGUCUCAUUUUGGGGGGUUCUCAGCAAUAGAUGGGGAUACAGUAGGAGGGCAAAGUCACAGAAAUUCUCUGCCGGAACUCCAAGACGCAGGGGCUGGGAACCGUCUGCAGGACCCAGACCCAGAGUUGGACCAGGAUUAAAGGUGGUGGGGGGUGUGGGGUGCCGAAUGUGAAGAACAGAACGGAAGUGCAGGAAGACAGCCCGACCUCCAGGAGACACCAUCACUCUCGGUGUUUCCCUCCCUGUGUUUCUUUCUUCCAAGAAAGGGUAUUUCCAAGAGGACAGAUUGGUUGACCAAAAGGCCAUUUUAUUUCUACUUUAUAAAAAUAGAUGAAAGGAGACUUGAAAUUAUUUUGCCUCUUACAUCACUGGGUUUGGGUUCUGGAAGUCCCUGGAGGGUGCGCCUGUAGCCCAGACUUCACAGGUAGACAUGGAGGUCAUGCAGGUCACAUGGCUGGUUGACACCUGUAAAGCUAUGAUGGCCAAGCAGAACUUUGCCGGGUAUCUCUGGUCCUAUUCCCUCCCCCGGGUCAUCUGCCUCCCUCCUGGAAUUGAUUGAUUAAGUGCUGUCCCUCCAUUUCGUCUAAUAGACCACGGGAAGGAUAGGCCAAACAAGAAGGGCCUACUUCAACUUACAAGUCAAGUCACGGUUUCAGAACACCUUAUCUCCAACCUCUGUCCUCACCACAAGCCAGCCCGACAAUGUCCUCAUCCGAUUUUCUCAAAA